UACGUAGGUGGCAAGCGUUGUCCGGAUUUACUGGGCGUAAAGAGCGCGCAGGCGGUCAGAUAAGUCGAAUGUGAAAGCCCCCGGCUCAACUGGGGAGGGUCAUUCGAUACUGUUCGACUCGAAGGCAGGAGAGGGAAGUGGAACUCCCGGUGUAGUGGUGAAAUGCGUAGAUAUCGGGAGGAACACCAGUGGCGAAGGCGACUUCCUGGCCUGUUCUUGACGCUGAGGCGCGAAAGCUAGGGGAGCAAACGGG
rnacentral:rRNA from 1 species